rnacentral:rRNA from 1 species
GACGAACCGAGCGAACGUUAUUCGGAAUCACUGGGCUUAAAGGGCGCGUAGGCGGGUAUCCAAGUCUAUGGUGAAAUCCGGCAGCUUAACUGUCGAACUGCCGUGGAUACUGGGUACCUCGAGGGAGGUAGGGGCGUGCGGAACUAUUGGUGGAGCGGUGAAAUGCGUUGAUAUCAAUAGGAACUCCGGUGGCGAAGGCGGCACGCUGGACCUUUUCUGACGCUGAGGCGCGAAAGCCAGGGGAGCAAACGGG